AACGAACGCUGGCGGCAUGCCUAACACAUGCAAGUCGAACGAGACCUUCGGGUCUAGUGGCGCACGGGUGCGUAACGCGUGGGAACCUGCCCUUAGGUUCGGAAUAACUCCCCGAAAGGGGUGCUAAUACCGGAUAAUGUCUUCGGACCAAAGAUUUAUCGCCUUUGGAUGGGCCCGCGUUGGAUUAGCUAGUUGGUAGGGUAAAAGCCUACCAAGGCGACGAUCCAUAGCUGGUCUGGGAGGAUGAUCAGCCACACUGGGACUGAGACACGGCCCAGACUCCUACGGGAGGCAGCAGUGGGGAAUAUUGGACAAUGGGCGAAAGUCUGAUCCAGCAAUGCCGCGUGAGUGAGGAGGGCGUUAGGGUUGUAAAGCUCUUUUACCCGGGAUGAUAAUGACAGUACCGGGAGAAUAAGCUCCGGCUAACUCCGUG
rnacentral:rRNA from 1 species